rnacentral:pre_miRNA from 1 species
ACAACAUUCGGACCUCGAUCUACCGAACAAUAUCACCCAUUCGGUAGAAGAUCUUCCCUUUGUCGU